CUACGGGAGGCUGCAGUGAGGAAUAUUGCACAAUGGGGGGAACCCUGAUGCAGCAACGCCGCGUGGAGGAUGACGCAUUUCGGUGUGUAAACUCCUUUUAUAUGUCAAGAAAAUGACGGUAGCAUAUGAAUAAGCACCGGCUAACUCCGUGCCAGCAGCCGCGGUAAUACGGAGGGUGCAAGCGUUACUCGGAAUCACUGGGCGUAAAGGACGCGUAGGCGGGUUGAAAAGUCAGGUGUGAAAGCCUACAGCUUAACUGUAGAACUGCACUUGAAACUCUCAAUCUAGAGUAUGGGAGGGGCAGAUGGAAUUAGUGGUGUAGGGGUAAAAUCCGUAGAUAUCACUAGGAAUACCUAAAGCGAAGGCGAUCUGCUGGAACAUUACUGACGCUAAGGCGUGAAAGCGUGGGGAGCAAACAGGAUUAGAUACCCAGUAGUC
rnacentral:rRNA from 1 species